rnacentral:rRNA from 1 species
UGUUCAGGGGUAAACCUGUGGUUCCCGAAAGUUCGAACGGGGAGAUUCAAUUGCUUUACGGUUAUGACCAUUUAGCAGUGUUUUUAUAUAUGUGACAUUAUAUGCGUACGGUGUUAAAACCGUAGCUGUUAUAUAGUGCACCGCUGUUUUAUGUAAUAUGUAUAUAGCCGGAGGCAUGCACUUCUCCCCUUGUAGGGCGUCAUAACCUAUUGGGUAAUAUAUAUUAAAUGUUGUCUAAGGCUUAUAAUGGAGACUGUAACAUCAAAUUUUUAAUUUGUGUGUAACAGACUUAUAAUGUCCCGACAUCUACCCGAUAGUAUAUAUAAUGAUGAUGGACCGCUUAAUAUUUAGUGUGCGUUCAGACCUAUGACAAAUGCUUUUAUGUUUGUGGAAUAUCGGAUUUUAUGCCGGUUCUACGCAUAUAGUAUUGUUAGUUAUAGUGUUCUCGAACAGUUUCUUAUCAUCAGUUAAUGGCGUUUAUGUUUUGGGUAAUUACAGGACCCGUCUUGAAACACGGACCAAGGAGUCUAGCAUGUGCGCGAGUCAUUGGGACUCUAUACAAAACCUAAAGGCGUAAUGAAAGUAAAUAUUUAUAUUUUAUACAUAUAAAUAAAGGGAAGAUGGGUAAUGAUAUUUAUAUUACCUCGCAUUCCUGGGGCGUCGCGUACUUAUUGCAAGUUGCGGCGCACCAAGAGCGUACACGCUGGGACCCGAAAGAUGGUGAACUAUGCCUGGUCAGGAUGAAGUCAGGGGAAACCCUGAUGGAGGUCCGUAGCGAUUCUGACGUGCAAAUCGAUCGUAUGAACUGGGUAUAGGGGCGAAAG